AUCCAUCUGGCAAGUCCCAAAUAGGACGAAACGCGCGUCAAAAUGGAU
rnacentral:hammerhead_ribozyme from 1 species